GAUGGGGAUGCGUUCCAUUAGUUUGUUGGCGGGGUAACGGCCCACCAAGACUACGAUGGAUAGGGGUUCUGAGAGGAAGGUCCCCCACAUUGGAACUGAGACACGGUCCAAACUCCUACGGGAGGCAGCAGUGAGGAAUAUUGGUCAAUGGACGCGAGUCUGAACCAGCCAAGUAGCGUGAAGGAUGACUGCCCUAUGGGUUGUAAACUUCUUUUAUAUGGGAAUAAAGUUGUCCACGUGUGGAUUUUUGUAUGUACCAUAUGAAUAAGGAUCGGCUAACUCCGUGCCAGCAGCCGCGGUAAUACGGAGGAUCCGAGCGUUAUCCGGACUUAUUGGGUUUAAAGGGAGCGUAGGCGGAUUGUUAAGUCAGUUGUGAAAGUUUGCGGCUCAACCGUAAAAUUGCAGUUGAUACUGGCAGUCUUGAGUGCAGUAGAGGUGGGCGGAAUUCGUGGUGUAGCGGUGAAAUGCUUAGAUAUCACGAAGAACUCCGAUUGCGAAGGCAGCUCACUGGAGUGUAACUGACGCUGAUGCUCGAAAGUGUGGGUAUCAAACAGGAUUAGAUACCCUGGUAGUCCACACAGUAAACGAUGAAUACUCGCUGUUUGCGAUAUACAGUAAGCGGCCAAG
rnacentral:rRNA from 1 species